rnacentral:lncRNA from 1 species
AGGGUGGGGCCGCGUUUUUUAGCCAUUUUUACUUGGGUAUGUUUUAUGGCGUUGGAGAGGAUUUGGUCCAAGGCUGGAUGAUAUGUAACUGGCACAUAUAUGGAAUGGUUUGUCUGGCUAUUUUUUUUGCUUGGGUGGCUGCUUAUUGCCAUCUAUUACUUUUUUCCAUAUACCUUCCAUGACCUUAUUAGAGUAACCAUAUUUGUAUCCGUGGGAAUAAAUAUAAUUGUGCUCUUUAAGUUUAUCACUCCAUUUAGUAGUGUGGGUGAAUAUUCUAGCAAAGAAUGCUUUAAAUGCAGCUACCUUA